CUUGUCACUACUAACCUCUCGUUCGAAAGCCAGUUCAACGUUAAACGCACUUUAGGAUCAUAUACUGAGAUGUUUUCCUGCAGGGGAUUACUGUGGCGAACUUUUUCUUCUUAGUGUGCUUGUUAAGAAAUGACCAGCUGAGUUUAGCUUGUAAAUCAUCCAGAGGUUCUAUCAGCUGUUGAAAUAUUGGUAUAUCAUCUAUUAAUUUUGGAGGUUCAAACAGUGCACAUGCUGGGCCUUUGGUGAAGAGAUCCAAAGCAUAACUUGGGACUACAAUAUCGUCUAAGAUGGUGAUCAUAUCCUCAAGGGGUAGAGAAGUGUGUCACUUGCCGUGUAGUUGGUUUCUGAAAAUACAUUUUAAUUUCUUAAUGUGUUUUUUACGGAGUGCAUUUUGGAAGAGGACCAUCUUAUUUUCAAAUUCUGAAAGCUGCCUUAUCUUGUCCAGGUUAUCUGAUGAGUUUGAUGAAGGAAUGAGGGAACUCACUAUGGAUCUUAAACAGUAAACCUUUCUUUUUGCAUCUGAUAUGGCAAAUCUGAGGCAGAUGCUCUUAGUGUUGGUUAAAAUC
rnacentral:lncRNA from 1 species